UUGAAUUUUAAUGAAGAGUUUGGUUGUAGCUGGCCCAUUCAUUUGGGCAUGUGCACACCUUCCUCUUUCAUCCCACACACACCUGUGAACCUGUGAGACAGAGAUGGGGAAUUUACUUGCUGCUUUUUGGAAUACAAAGGCAUAGGUUAUUGGACCCCCCCUCUGUCUACUCAAUUAAUAUAAACUCAAUUUAUUUUAAAACGAAUGUAAUGGAUGUAACACAUCUCAUAC
rnacentral:misc_RNA from 1 species